rnacentral:rRNA from 1 species
AACGAAUGCUGGCGGCAUGCCUAACACAUGCAAGUCGAACGAUCCCUUCGGGGAUAGUGGCGCACGGGUGCGUAACGCGUGGGAACCUGCCCUUAGGUUCGGAAUAACUCAGAGAAAUUUGAGCUAAUACCGGAUAAUGUCUUCGGACCAAAGAUUUAUCGCCUUUGGAUGGGCCCGCGUUGGAUUAGCUAGUUGGUGGGGUAAAGGCCUACCAAGGCGACGAUCCAUAGCUGGUCUGAGAGGAUGAUCAGCCACACUGGGACUGAGACACGGCCCAGACUCCUACGGGAGGCAGCAGUGGGGAAUAUUGGACAAUGGGCGAAAGCCUGAUCCAGCAAUGCCGCGUGAGUGAUGAAGGCCUUAGGGUUGUAAAGCUCUUUUACCCGGGAUGAUAAUGACAGUACCGGGAGAAUAAGCCCCGGCUAACUCCGUG